rnacentral:rRNA from 1 species
CCUACGGGUGGCAGCAGUGGGGGAUAUUGCACAAUGGGGGGAACCCUGAUGCAGCGACGCCGCGUGGGUGAAGAAGCGCUUCGGCGCGUAAAGUCCUGUCAGCAGGGAAGAAAAUGACGGUAACUUAAGAAGAAGCCCCGGCUAACUACGUGCCAGCAUCCGCGGUAAUACGUAGGGGGCAAGCGUUAUCCGGAUUUACUGGGUGUAAAGGGGGCGCAGACGGGUAUUAAAGGCAGGAGUGAAAACCCGGGGCCCAACCCCGGGACUGUUCUUGGAACUGCUUUGCUUGAGUGCAGGAGGGGCAGGCGGAAUUCCUAGUGUAGCGGUGAAAUGCGUAGAUAUCAGAAGGAACACCGAUGGCGAAGGCAGGCUGCUGGACUGCAACUGACGUUGAGGCCCGAAAGCGUAGGGAGCAAACAGGAUUAGAUACCCGUGUAGUC